GGUCGCCUGGCGAAACGGGAUCGCGUCUGACUACGACUUCAUACUUAAAUCAGGAGAUUGUAGGUUCGAGCCCUGCAGUGGUUA